rnacentral:rRNA from 1 species
AUUGAACGCUGGCGGCAGGCCUAACACAUGCAAGUCGAACGGUAACAGGAAGAAGCUUGCUUCUUUGCUGACGCGUCGCGGACGCGUGAGUCAUGUCAGGGAAACUGCCUGAUGGAUGGGGCUAACUCCUGGAAACGGUAGCUAAUACCGCAUAACGUCGCAAGACCAAAGAGGGGGACCUUCGGGCCUCUUGCCAUCGGAUGUGCCCAGAUGGGAUUAGCUAGUAGGUGGGGUAACGGCUCACCUCGGCGACGAUCCCUAGCUGGUCUGAGAGGAUGACCAGCCACACUGGAAGUUAGACACGGUCCAGACUCCUACGGGCGGCAGCGGUGGGGAAUAGUGAACCAUGGGCGCAAGCCUGAUGCAGGCAUGCCGCGAGUAUGAAGAAGGCCUUCGGGUUGUAAAAUACUUUCAGCGGGGAGGAAGGGAGUAAAGUUAAUACCUUUGCACAUUGACGUUACCCGCAGAAGAGGCACGGGCUAACUCCGUG